UACAGAGGUCUCAAGCGUUGUUCGGAUUCAUUGGGCGUAAAGGGUGCGUAGGUGGCGCCGUAAGUCGGGUGUGAAAUUUCGGAGCUUAACUCCGAAACUGCAUUCGAUACUGCGGUGCUUGAGGACUGGAGAGGUGAGUGGAACUGCGAGUGUAGAGGUGAAAUUCGUAGAUAUUCGCAAGAACACCAGUGGCGAAGGCGGCUCACUGGCCCGAUACUGACGCUGAGGUGCGAAAGCGUGGGGAGCAAACAGG
rnacentral:rRNA from 1 species